CUCAUAUCCAUCUCAUACACAUUUCGCAUUAGCCAUUCGGCUUCGCCACAUAUAUACACUUCCACGUUCAUCACAUUGGCCAUUCUACCUUAUCACAUAUAUGCAUGUUCACAUUCAUCACAUUGGCCAUUCGGCCUUAUCACAUAUUUGCAUGUUCACAUUCAUCACAUUGGCCAUUCGGCCUUAUCACACAUAUGCAUGUUCACAUUCAUCACAUUGGCCGUUCGGCCUUAUCACAUAUUUGCAUGUUCACGUUCAUCACAUUGGCCAUUCGGCCUUAUCACACAUAUGCAUGUUCACAUUCAUCACAUUGGCCAUUCGGCCUUAUCACAUAU
rnacentral:lncRNA from 1 species